rnacentral:rRNA from 1 species
UAAGACAGAGGAUGCAAACGUUGCUCGGAAUUACUGGGCGUAAAGCGCGCGCAGGCGGUCUUGUAAGUCAGGUGUGAAAUCCCGGGGCUCAACCUCGGAAGUGCACUUGAUACUGCUCGACUGGAGUACUGGAGAGGAGAGCGGAAUUCCCGGUGUAGAGGUGAAAUUCGUAGAUAUCGGGAGGAACACCAGUGGCGAAGGCGGCUCUCUGGACAGAUACUGACGCUGAGGCGCGAAAGCGUGGGAAGCAAACAGGAUUAGAUACCCUGGUAGUCCACGCUGUAAACGAUGGCAACUGGGUGUCUCGGGUAUUGACCCCCGAUGCGCCGAAGUCAACACGUUAAGUUGCCCGCCUGGGAAGUACGGCCGCAAGGCUA